CGUCAAAGUUCCAGAACACAGACUCCACCAUCUUCUCAAUGUGCUCCACCACUAGGGCCUGAUCCAGCUUGGGUUUGGCAGCCGAGGUCCACUCCUCCAGCACCUAGGGCCGGGGUGGUGGGGUACAGCUCGUGGGGCUGGUUGGCAAGGACUUGGAGCGCGGCUCCCGCUGCUGGGAUAGCUGGUGCAGCUCAUCCUCCAUCUGUUACUGAUCCAGAGAUGCCGUGAGCAGGCCGAGCAGAUCACGGUUGGCCUGUACUGGUGACCAAAGCCUGGUCACUAUGGCCAGCUUCUCCAGGAUGCUGAAGACCUGCUUCAUCUUGCCCUCAUGGAGCCGGGUCCGGGCUGGGUCCAGCCAGUCAGGCAAUGCCAGCUGCAGGGCCACCAGGUCCUUGAGGUGCACACCCAGGAUGGGGAAGCGGAAGCCCACAAAGGCUGCCAGCCGGCGCUGGUAGUUGCCAUAGCUGCCUGUCGCCGUCGCUAGUUCCACGAGACCAUCCCAGAGCUUGAUGGUCUCAGGGCUAAAGUGGCUGUGGGUCUCCUUGAGGCGGGAGAUGGAGCUGUGGCUCAGGCCCCCGACCACUAUCAUCAGUAUGUUGAAGUUCUGCAGCUGCAGCAGCUUCUCCGCCACGUGGACAAAGUGUGUGAUGACCAGGCCCCGCUGCGGGGCUGUGGGUUUGCUGAGGAUCAUGACCCACUGCGAGAUGCUUUUGAAGAGGGAGAUGAACCGCUCCAGGACGGGGUUGUCCACAGUGUAGCCAUGAGUCACAAAAUUGUGAUAGUCCUGGAACCGGAUCUUGCAGAAGGAGUGAUACUCCAAGUAGGGACGCUGUCUAUGUCGAUGACGCUGCCGCGCCGCCAGUUUCCUGCUUGGUCUAGCAGAGCCUUCAGCUCCUUGAUCUGCUCAGUGAGCUCCGUGUUCAAGUCAAACUCCGGUGGGAAGGCAGAGAUCCAGUACGUGACCAGGUUCUGCCAGUCCUUUUCUGUGCAUCCUGGCUGAUGUCUGCCACAGGCUCCCUGGGCAUCUUUCCCAUUUUAGUCACAGAGAUCUACAGCAAGUGGGAGUUAAGUAAAUGCAUGCUGACUGACUGGUUAAGUGCAUGUAGUGGGAUAGACAUGUGUUUUGUUUGUUCGUUUGUUUGUUUUUGAGACAAAGUCUUACUCUGUUCCCCAGGCUAGAGUGCAGUGAUGCAAUCUCGGCUCACUGCAACCUCCGCCUUAGGGGUUCAAGCGAUUCUCGUGCCACAGCCUCCUGAGUAGCUGGGAUUACAGAUGCCUGCCACCAUGUCCAGCUAAUUUUUGUAGUUUUAAUAGAGACAGGAUUUCACUAUGUUGGCCAGGCUGGUCUUGAACUCCUGAUCUCAGGUGAUCCGCCCGCCUCAGCCUCCCAAAAUGCUGGGAUUACCGGCAUGAGUCACUGUGCCUGGCCAUAUUUUGUUUUAAAAUGUAUUUACAAAGCAAUGCUAGCCUCUGCAUUUCCUCCAAUUUCAUUUAAAAAACAUUAUUCAUUUUAUUAAUAGGAACAAUUUGCUUUCUUCACUCCUUGCUGCAUUAGGAUCUAGCAUUACUUACUCAGAAAUGGCCCUCUGCAUUUUCCUCAUAGCACCUUCUGACAUUAGUGUUGUCCGUAUUCCCCUUGAUCAACAUUCUUUAUUCUGCAUUCUACCUGGGAAAUUACUGUGUUUGGUGGGGAAAAUAACUACAUUAUUGAAGUAUGAGCUGAAAAUAGAUUGCUUCUAGUUCAAGAAAAGUCUAGACACCAUGACACUUCCUGGGCCACAUCAUUAACUAUCUCCCAUUAGCUAUUUCUCAGCCAUUUUUGCAUCCAGGGCUA
ensembl:lncRNA